rnacentral:rRNA from 1 species
GAUGAACGCUGGCGGCGUGCCUAACACAUGCAAGUCGAACGGACGCACGAUAAGAUUUUGCCUUUGCUGGUGGCGGGGGGCGGGCGGGUAAGACAUGGAUAAGCAACUACUAUUUCGUGGAGAAUUUCGGGAAAAAGGAGACACUACUGGCUGAUACUAUGUACGGGUUGGUUCAGAAGUGCUAGAGGCCUUUGCUGUCUUAAUUAGACGGAGUCGGGUUGGAUUAGCUAGUUGGUAAGGUAACGGCGUACCAAGGCAACGAUGCGUAGCUGACCUGAGAGGGUGAUCAGCCACACUGGAACUGAGACACGGUCCAGACUCCUACGGGAGGCAGCAGUGGGGAAUCUUGCGCAAUGGGCGAAAGCCUGACGCAGCCAUACCGCGUGGGUGAAGAAGGUCUUCGGAUCGUAAAGCUCUGUUGUUAGGAAAGAACAGAUGUAUAUGUAACUGUGGAUGUCCUGACGGUACCCAAACAAAAAGCCCCGGCUAACUACGUG